GCCAAGACCACAGCACACAUUGCUGGUGUGACCAUGAGGAGAAUUCUUAUUGAAGACAGACUCCUCAUUCUUAAGUCCCAGUGAGGCCGGAGUCCCUGUUGUCACCACUUCUUUGUCCAAUAGCUCCAGGAAGCCUAUUUGAGGCAAAUCACUGCUGUAGGAAACCCCCAUUUCCCCCACCUAGUGCCCUUGUCCUCCCCGUGUGAGUGAGGACAUACCUGGGUCUCCUUGCAGACAAUCAGCUGCUGCCUCCUAGGGGGACACCUCUUUCUCAGGAUGAGGUAGUGGCAACAUCAAACAUCCAAAGCCAACGUAACCGCACAAAGGAAAUCCCCUUCUUCAUGUAUCCUGAUAGAGGGAAGGAGGCACAUUUACGCGCACCGCCCGGAACCCAUAGGCUUCUGUACAGUGGCUGUAUAGCGACUUGGUCCCCAACUGUAUACAGCGCAGGAAGAAUAAAGCUCAGUAGCGUGAGGAUGGCGCGUGUGGUUUUUGAGGUUCACGGUGCCAGUGUCCUUGCCACCUUGCCUCUGGGUGGAUGGGUCUCUUUCAGUUGACAGCUCCUGAGGGGCUUCUGUUGGGCUGGCAGUCAGCCUGGGGACUGGUUUACAGACUGAUUUUUCCCCUGACUUGGCUCAGAGCUGACCCUCAGGAAGUCUCUCUGUCACCAAGGGUGUGAUGAAGCCCAGAGUGCCACCUGGUGAGGCCGGGGCACUGUGGUGGUGGAUGGCAGCAGCCUGUGGUGUGGGGUUGUGGUAUCUGCCUACUGAGGUCUCAGGAGCCUGGUGUGUUGAAACUGGGAUGAGUUUUUUGUUGUUGUUUCGUUUUGUUUUUUUCUUAAAGGACUCGUUCUAAAGGUGUGGGGUGUGCCUAAGAAACUACCAAAAGGGAGCCAGGCUAAUCACAUGGCCGUAAUUCCAGCCUUCAGGAAACUGAGGGUGUAACCGUCCCAAGGGGAGGGACCCUACCACCCAGAACCAUGACGUGGUGGGCCCAGACCAUGGAUACAAAAGGUCAGGACUUACGGGCUUCUCGUCUGAACUGAGCAUGUCCAUGAGCCCUCUGCCCAGCUCAUUGAGCCUGCUGUUUCCAGUGUUUCCUGCUCCUGUUCAGGCUCACACGGCUCAAUCAGGAGGUCCGGGAAGUCGAUGAAGAAGCGCGAGCACAUGUAGCGCUGCAGGGCGCGGGCGUCCGUGCUGGGCCGCGGCCGGAAGCCCCGCACCAGGAGGUGGCAGUACUUGAGCAGGCCGCCGCCGCGGAUCUCCUCGGGGCUGCGCGUGGCGAUGACGCGGUGCUG